CACAGAAUCAGGAGCAAGAUUUGGGGAAAGAGUGUCAAAGCUUGAGUGAACCCAUGAAUAACCAGACAAGAGAUGCCUAUUCUGGAGAUGUAGAUAGUGGACUUGCGGUGGUGAUUUCAGGAAGCAGUGAUGAUCUCUACAAACCUACCUUCCUCGCCAUGUAAAGAUGACAUUUCCUCAAUAUAUUGUGCACAGAAGUUUACUGAAGUAAUUAAGAGUGAAACUCCUGAGCAAUCUGAGUACAAAUAUCUGCCUACUCAUCUUGGCAACUUUUGCUCUUGUCCCAGUGCCUCAGACAGUCAGAGGGAAGAAACAUCAAAAUUCUGUGUGUCCUCUACAACAGAAGAAAAAUGGCACAAGCCCAAGGUGAAAUUGUGAAAUAGGAAAAGUUUGCCUUUGAUGGCCUUUUGGUUCUUGGAAAAACAACCUCUCCUACUUUUGGUUUUCCAAAAAUACCCUCUAUUCCUACAGAAGAAGAAAGAAUCCUCUAUCCUUUUUGAAUUUUGAUGAAAACUUGUUUUAAUAAGCUAGCAGUCCCAGUUUCCAUUUACAAGUUUGAACUUUUAAACUCUCCAGUAGAUUUAAAAAUCUAUCGUCAA